rnacentral:tRNA from 1 species
GGCUUUAUAUUCAUUUGGUGAUUUUAGAUUGCAAAUCUAAAGGGAUAAGGUAUCUUAUUAAAGUCU